rnacentral:misc_RNA from 1 species
UCACGUGCAGCUUCUUCAGCCUGUCUUUGAGCUUCCCGCUCUUGCCGUUUCUUCUCUUUCUUGGUUGAUGCUUUGGCCUCAUAAUCUUCACCCACAACAGCUUCAUUGUCACUUUCAUCAACAGUGUCUUCUACGGUUGCUUCCGCAGCUCUUGAUGAACUAGCUCCAGCAAUUGGUCUUCGACGCAUUCGCCGAGCACCAGUGGCGCGCACCACAGUUUCCCGCUGCCGAUCCUGAGGGUCUUCUUGAUGUUCAUCAGGUGAUCGAGA